AGCGAACGCUGGCGGCGUGCUUAACACAUGUAAGUCGCGCGGGAAAGAGACUUUCGGGUCUUGAGUAGAGCGGCGGACGGGUGCGUAAGACGCGGGUGACCUAUCCGAGAGGCGGGGAUAACCCAGCGAAAGCGGGGCUAAUACCGGAUGAGCCCCCAGGCGGAAACGCGGCGGGGGCAAAGGAUGCUACUCGAUAGUGGCAUGUCCUCACGGGAGGGGCCCACGCCUAUCAGCUAGNGGUGUGGUAACGGCGCACCAGGGCGAAGACGGGUAGCUGGUCUGAGAGGAUGGCCAGCCACACGGGGACUGAGACACGGCCCCGA
rnacentral:rRNA from 1 species